GAGGAUAUAUAACUCAGUGGUAGAACACUUGCCUAGCAAGUAUGAGGUCCUGGGUUCAAUCCCCAGUACUCACA
rnacentral:tRNA from 1 species